UACGUAGGGCGCAAGCGUUGUCCGGAAUUAUUGGGCGUAAAGAGCUCGUAGGCGGCUUGUCGCGUCGGAUGUGAAAGCCCGGGGCUUAACUCCGGGUCUGCAUUCGAUACGGGCUGGCUAGAGUGUGGUAGGGGAGAUCGGAAUUCCUGGUGUAGCGGUGAAAUGCGCAGAUAUCAGGAGGAACACCGGUGGCGAAGGCGGAUCUCUGGGCCGAUACUGACGCUGAGGAGCGAAAGCGUGGGGAGCGAACAGG
rnacentral:rRNA from 1 species